AGCGCAUGUGGUGGAUGCCUUGGCGAUGACAGGCGAAGAAGGACGUGGCAGCCUGCGAUAAGCUGCGGGGAGCUGGCAGACGAGCGUUGAUCCGCAGAUGUCCGAAUGGGGAAACCCGGCCCGCAAGGGUCAUCCUGGCCUGAAUACAUAGGGUCAGUGAGGCGAACCGCCUGAACUGAAACAUCUCAGUAGGGCGAGGAGAAGAAAUCAACCGAGAUUCCGAAAGUAGUGGCGAGCGAAAUCGGAGGAGCCUGCACGUUUUAGCCAUCGACUUAUCAGAACGGUCUGGAAAGGCCGGCCGUAGUGGGUGAGAGCCCCGUAUGAGAAAAGUGGGUGGUGGAACUAGGCGUGCGAGAAGUAGGGCGGGACACGUGAAAUCCUGUCUGAAGAUGGGGGGACCAUCCUCCAAGGCUAAAUACUCGUCAUCGACCGAUAGCGAACCAGUACCGUGAGGGAAAGGCGAAAAGAACCCCGGGAGGGGAGUGAAACAGAUCCUGAAACCGCAUGCGUACAAACAGUGGGAGCCCCAGCUUAAUGGGCUUUCGGGUUCUUUCGGCGGAGCACGCGCAGCGUGCGUAGCCAAAAGAAUUCAAGAAAGAAACAGAUCCUUGCGUCGACGGCGCAAGGCGCAAGAGCUUGCGUCGACGGCGCAAGGCGCAAGAGCUUGUGUUGACGGCGCAAUGGUCGAAGGCUGGAUGAGUUCAUCGGAGUGAAGGUGACUUCGGAUCGCGAAGCGAGACGAAAGGCACCCCGCUUGAUGGACUCAUCGAGAGUCCAUCAAGCUGGGGUGACUGCGUACCUUUUGUAUAAUGGGUCAGCGAGUUACAUUCCGUGGCGAGGUUAACCUUUUAGGGGAGCCGCAGCGAAAGCGAGUCUUAACGGGGCGAGCAAGUCGCGGGGUGUAGACCCGAAACCGGAUGAUCUACCCAUGGCCAGGCUGAAGGUGGGGUAAUGCCCACUGGAGGGCCGAACCCACUACUGUUGAAAAAGUAGGGGAUGAGCGGUGGGUAGGGGUGAAAGGCCAAACAAAUCCGGAAAUAGCUGGUUCUCUCCGAAAGCUAUUUAGGUAGUGCCUCGUGUGGUCACCCUCGGGGGUAGAGCACUGUUAUGGCUAGGGGGCGAGCGUUCGCUUACCAAACCAUGGCAAACUCCGAAUACCGAGGAGUGGGGAGCACGGGAGACAGACGCCGGGUGCUAACGUCCGGUGUCGAGAGGGAGACAACCCAGACCCGCAGCUAAGGUCCCCAAUGCAUGGCUCAGUGGUGAACGAGGUGGGAGGGCUUAGACAGCCAGGAGGUUGGCUUAGAAGCAGCCACCCUUUAAAGAAAGCGUAAUAGCUCACUGGUCGAGUCUUCUCGCGCGGAAGAUGUAACGGGGCUAAGCCAUGAACCGAAGCUCGGGGUGCGUGCGCGAGCACGUGCGGUAGGAGAGCGUUCCGUAGGCCGGUGAAGGGGCUUCGAGAGGGGUCCUGGAGGUAUCGGAAGUGCGAAUGCUGACAUGAGUAGCGAUAAAGCGGGUGAAAAGCCCGCUCGCCGUAAGCCCAAGGUUUCCUGCGCAACGUUCAUCGGCGCAGGGUGAGUCGGCCCCUAAGGCGAGGGCGAGAGCCGUAGCUGAUGGGAAAGAGGUCAAUAUUCCUCUACCGGGGCCAGGGGCGAAGGGGGGACGAAGAAGGCUAGAGCGGCCGGGGGUUGGAUGUCCCGGUGAAAGCGCGUAGGCGGGCUCCGUAGGCAAAUCCGCGGGGCCGUGAACGCUGAGGCGUGAUGACGCAAGCCCCCCUCGGGGGGCCCAAGUGCUUGAGGCCCGGCUUCCAGGAAAAGCCUCUAAGCGUUAACUCUGGUUCCGACCGUACCGUAAACCGACACAGGUGGGCGAGCUGAACAUGCUCAGGCGCUUGAGAGAACUCGGGUGAAGGAACUCGGCAAAUUGACACCGUAACUUCGGGAGAAGGUGUGCCCCUGGUACGUGAAGUGGCUAGCCCAUGGAGCGGAAGGGGGUCGCAGAGAAUCGGGGGCCGCGACUGUUUAAUAAAAACACAGCACUCUGCCAACACGAAAGUGGACGUAUAGGGUGUGACGCCUGCCCGGUGCCGGAAGGUUAAGUGAUGGGGUGUUGAGCCCCGGAUCGAAGCCCCGGUAAACGGCGGCCGUAACUAUAACGGUCCUAAGGUAGCGAAAUUCCUUGUCGGGUAAGUUCCGACCUGCACGAAUGGCGUAACGAUGGCCCCGCUGUCUCCACUCGAGACUCAGCGAAGUUGAAGUGGUUGUGAUGAUGCAAUCUACCCGCGGCUAGACGGAAAGACCCCGUGCACCUUUACUGCAGCUUUGCAUGGGACUGUGAUGGGAUCUGUGUAGGAUAGGUGGGAGGCUGUGAGGCCGGGUCGCCAGAUUCGGCGGAGCCGACGUUGAAAUACCACCCUGAUGUCAUUGCGGUUCUAACCCAGGCCCUUGGACGGGGUCGGGGACAGUGCAUGGUGGGCAGUUUGACUGGGGCGGUCUCCUCCUAAAGGGUAACGGAGGAGCCCGAAGGUUCGCUUAGCACGGUCGGAAAUCGUGCGCAAAGUGCAAUGGCACAAGCGAGCUUGACUGCGAGACAGACACGUCGAGCAGGUGCGAAAGCAGGGCAUAGUGAUCCGGUGGUUCUGGAUGGAAGGGCCAUCGCUCAACGGAUAAAAGGUACGCCGGGGAUAACAGGCUGAUCUCCCCCAAGAGUUCACAUCGACGGGGAGGUUUGGCACCUCGAUGUCGGCUCAUCUCAUCCUGGGGCUGUAGCCGGUCCCAAGGGUAUGGCUGUUCGCCAUUUAAAGAGGUACGUGAGCUGGGUUUAAAACGUCGUGAGACAGUUUGGUCCCUAUCUACCGUGGGCGUUGGAGGUUUGCGGGGGGCUGCUCCUAGUACGAGAGGACCGGAGUGGACGUACCGCUGGUGGACCGGUUGUGACGCCAGUCGCAUCGCCGGGUAGCUAAGUACGGAAGCGAUAACCGCUGAAGGCAUCUAAGCGGGAAGCGCGCCCCAAGAUGAGACCUCCCGCAGGGUCAACCUGCCUGAAGGGUCGGGAGAGACCAUCCCGUGGAUAGGCCGGGUGUGCAAGGGGGGCAACCCCUUGAGCUAACCGGUACUAAUGGCCCGUGCGGCUUGAUC
rnacentral:rRNA from 1 species